UACGUAGGGUGCGAGCGUUACUCGGAAUUACUGGGCGUAAAGCGUGCGCAGGCGGUUUUUUAAGUCAGAUGUGAAAUCCCCGGGCUUAACCUGGGAACUGCGUUUGAAACUACAAGGCUAGAGUGUGGCAGAGGGGGGUGGAAUUCCACGUGUAGCAGUGAAAUGCGUAGAGAUGUGGAGGAACACCGAUGGCGAAGGCAGCCCCCUGGGUUAACACUGACGCUCAGGCACGAAAGCGUGGGGAGCAAACAGG
rnacentral:rRNA from 1 species